GCUUCUCGCUGGAGUGCGCACCGAGCGGCAGUGACUUCGCCGCUGCUGUAGUUCCCCGGCUGGAUGCGGUGACUGGUGCCAGUGCUCAGGCGCCCGCUGCCCUUGACCUCCCGCCCCGCGAGCCCUAACUCAGCGCAGGAGGACCGGCUGCCGCCGCCGCCGCCGCCAGAGCCUUGGCUGCCCAGUUGCCAGUCCUACCACGGUCGGAGGUAACCUUCCUGGCUCCAGUCACAUGGCCAGAUAAGGUGGUGUGUGUGGGCAUGAAUUAUGUGGACCACUGCAAAGAACAGAACGUGCCCGUGCCCAAGGAGCCCAUCAUCUUCAGCAAGUUUGCCAGCUCCAUCGUGGGGCCCUAUGAUGAGGUGGUCCUCCCACCACAGAGCCAGGAGGUAGAUUGGGAAGUGGAGCUGGCCGUGGUCAUUGGAAAGAAAGGCAAGCACAUCAAGGUGAAGUGGAAAAGGCCACAGAUGCCAUGGCCCACGUGGCCGGCUUCACUGUGGCUCAUGACGUGAGUGCUCGUGACUGGCUAACAAGAUGCAAUGGGAAACAGUGGCUGCUGGGAAAAACCUUCGACACCUUCUGCCCUCUGGGCCCUGCCUUGGUGACCAAGGACAGUGUAGCAGAUCCACACAACUUAAAGAUCUGCUGUCGAGUGAAUGGGGAAGUGGUCCAGAGCAGCAACACCAACCAGAUGGUAUUCAAGACAGAGGACCUGAUAGCCUGGGUGUCCCAGUUUGUUACCUUUUACCCAGGGGAUGUCAUCCUGACUGGGACCCCCCCACCUCCACCCAGGUGUCGGUGUAUUCAGGAAACCUCCUGUCUUUCUCAAGGUCUCUGAAGGUCCAGACAGCACUGAUGGCGAGCUUUGGGUCCGCACACUCUGGAAAGAAGAGAGAAGUGAAGGCUCUAGGUAGGGAGAACAGAGAGCCACUGGGCACAGGCUUCUCUCCUCUUGUUUAAAGAAGCCCAGGGAGGGAUAGAGCUCUGACUGGACAGAAGACUGUACUCUGCAGCCUGCCUUCCUAGAGUUGGGUUGUCACUGUCCUGCAGGGGGCAGCAGCCACCAGCAAACACCACUGCCUGCAGGAGCCUGGGCUGACUGGUUGGGACUCACCGAAGAUCCCUUCUUCCUGGGCGGUGGCCUGCAGGAACUGGAACAGCUGCUCUGUGUAGCCCAACUCUGCAGAAGAGAGAAGACCUAGACCUGGCACCCAGCACAGACACAGCCUGCCUCGAGGACUGCAAGGGAACAAGGGCCUCACCAGUAUCGGGCAGCUGGCCCUGGCGGAGGAAGGCGGCAGCCUGUGCAAAGGCCUUGAGCAGCGGGCUGAGCAGGCGGCAGAGGAAAAGAAAGAAAUCUGGGCAGUGUGACUGCUGGCUGAGCUGGAGGGGACAGGCCGGGGUGAGUGCAGCUCCCCACCGCCUCCCUACCACCUCCCUCCAGGGGCAGCUUUUUGAAACACACCCUGAAGUACCGGCCGUCAGCCUCUCCGAAGUCAUCACUGUCACUAUCAGUAAAGUCCCCACUCGGUUUCCACA
ensembl:lncRNA novel transcript